rnacentral:rRNA from 1 species
UACGAAGGGGGCUAGCGUUGCUCGGAAUCACUGGGCGUAAAGCGCACGUAGGCGGAUCUUUAAGUCAGGGGGUGAAAUCCCAAGGCUCAACCUUGGAACUGCCUUUGAUACUGGGGAUCUCGAGUCCGGAAGAGGUUGGUGGAACUGCGAGUGUAGAGGUGAAAUUCGUAGAUAUUCGCAAGAACACCAGUGGCGAAGGCGGCUCACUGGCCCGGUACUGACGCUGAGGUGCGAAAAGCGUGGGGGAGCAAACAGGG